rnacentral:snRNA from 1 species
GAGCAGGAGUUAAUAUUUAAUAUUAAACAAUCGAACGAUAUAGAGAAGAUUAGCAUGACCCCUGCACAAGGUUGACAUGCAAAUUUGUGGAGCGUUCCAUACUUUU